GCCUGCGUGGCUCAGUCGGUUGAGCGUCUGACUUCAGCUCAGGUCAUGAUCUCACAGUCUGUGAGUUCGAGCCCCACAUCGGGCU
rnacentral:tRNA from 1 species